GUAGCACGCAGAGUGAGGGCAGAGCGGCAGUAGCAGCGAUAGGCGGCCUCAGUCAUUCGACUCAGUGAGGGGUGGAGGAGCUCCGAGAGAAGCCUCGUCUGGAGCUGGAGGGCCACCAGAUAGAUGUUCAGCAUCCCAGACCUGAGUAGCUGUACCGGAGAGAGGCAUGAAAGUUUUUCAGAAAAUUAAGAUUUCAUUAUGGCGUAGAGGUAUCAGACAUUUCAAAAAGUGCGGCCGAGACAGGGAACGGAGCCCAGCAGGUAAGCAGUACAUCAUCUCCAUGAAGAAUGCUCAUUCAUCACAUGUCAGAGUGUGCAGUCAGCAAGAAUCCCGAGGAUGGCAAAUUUACGCCACUGCACCAUGACUGAGCAAAUAUUCAACUGAAUAGCCAAGGUAUCCCGAUUCCUUGCUUUGACUUCAUUCUUAUGCCCUCUGCACACCGGUCCCAUCACCUCUUGUGGGUUUAUACCAAGAAAGGAA